rnacentral:lncRNA from 1 species
ACCUUGUGGUCUUCUCUCACGUGUUGGAUAUCUUCUUUCAUGCAAAGAGGAUGAGCCUUCAUGCACCUCUUGCUGCCUUAUAUGGCUCAUAGAGUUCCUUCUCUCACUCCUUGGUUGGUAUUCUUCAUCUUCAUUCUCUUCAUUGUCCUUGUUGUAUCUUGCUGGAAUUGAAGUCUUCAUAGUAUUGGACUCUUCUAUCAUGGCAUCUUCCCCUCCUUCUUCACUUUGAGAAUGCUCUUCUUCAUCUUCUUGUUUGUUUGUUGGAAUUGAAGAUG